AAUGUCCUAUCCGGGAUCAGGCCUUCCACCCUUGGCUUCCCGAUUCAAAUUCAGGUUUUUACCUCUGGGCUUGCAGCCGGCCCUAAUGAUUGCCACAGCACGGCUGGGCUAAGGGAGAGCUUGUUGCAAGUCUGGUGCUUGAUGCACCUCAUGGUCAGCCCGAAAUUGCUACUGAUCUGCGAGCGUGUCUUACCUGCUGCAGGAUACACAGCUCUUGAUUAUUUUAAACUGAAUUGCCCAUGCUUGUGGUACUGCAGCAGAGAACACAACAGCCCUGGGAUGAGGCAAAACCUCCAGCAUGGCAGCAGACAAUAAAUCUUUCCAGCUGAGAGCUUCCCAAGGACAGCACACACCAUGUGCUGAGCAUAAGGGAAAUGGACACCCACUGUAAAAGUAAUCCCCUGGCUUGUCCAA